GAGUGUUUUGCAAAAGAAGUAGUUUGCUUAACCUUCGGGAGGGCGCUUACCUCUUUGUGAUUCAUGACUGGGGUGAAGUCGUAUCAAGGUAACCGUAGUGGAACCUUCGGUUGGAUCACCUCGUUA
rnacentral:rRNA from 1 species